CAAUAGCGUAUAUUUAAGUUGUUGCAGUUAAAAAACUCGUAGUUGGAUUUCGGGUGGGACGCAGCGGUCUCGCAUUGCGUUUGUACUGCUGCAGCCCUCCUUCUUGCCGGGGGCGGCCUCUCGGACUUCACUGUCUGGGGGUCAGAAUCGGCGAUGUUACUUUGAGUAAAUUAGAGUGUUCAAAGCAAGCUUACGCUCUGAAUAUAAUAGCAUGGGAUAACACGACAGGACUCUGGCCUAUCGUGUUGGUCUAUAGGACCAGAGUAAUGAUUAAGAGGGACAGUCGGGGGCAUUCGUAUUCCGUUGUCAGAGGUGAAAUUCUUGGAUUUACGGAAGACGAACAUCUGCGAAAGCAUUUGCCAAGGAUGUUUUCAUUGA
rnacentral:rRNA from 1 species